UUUAGCAGAGAUGCUUUAGUGCCUUCGGGAACUCUGAGACAGGUGCUGCAUGGCUGUCGUCAGCUCGUGUUGUGAAAUGUUGGGUUAAGUCCCGCAACGAGCCGCAACCCCUAUCCUUUGUGCCAGCGAUUCGGUCGGGAACUCAAAGGAGACUGCCGGUGAUAAACCGGAGGAAGGUGGGGAUGACGUCAAGUCAUCAUGGCCCUUACGAGUAGGGCUACACACGUGCUACAAUGGCGCAUACAAAGAGAAGCGACCUCGCGAGAGCAAGCGGACCUCAUAAAGUGCGUCGUAGUCCGGAUUGGAGUCUGCAACUCGACUCCAUGAAGUCGGAAUCGCUAGUAAUCGUAGAUCAGAAUGCUACGGUGAAUACGUUCCCGGGCCUUGUACACACCGCCCGUCACACCAUGGGAGUGGGUUGCAAAAGAAGUAGAUAGCUUAACCUUCGGGAGGGCGUUUACCACUUUGUGAUUCAUGACUGGGGUGAAGUCGUAACAAGGUAGGCGUAGCGAG
rnacentral:rRNA from 1 species